rnacentral:rRNA from 1 species
AUUGAACGCUGGCGGCAUGCUUUACACAUGCAAGUCGAACGGUAACAGGCCUUCGGUUUCUGACGCUUGGCUAACGGGUGAGUAAUUCAUCGGAACGUGCCCAGCGGUGGGGGAUAACGCAGCGAAAGCUGUGCUAAUCCCGCAUGUGAUCUGAGCAUGAAAUCGGGGGACUAAGCAGCAAUGUUUGGCCUCGCGCCUCUGGACCGGCCGCUGUCCGAUUAGUUAGUUGGUGGGGUAAAAGCCUACCAAGCCGACGAUCUGUAGCUGGUCUGAGAGGACGACCGGCGACACGGGGAGUUAGACACGGCCCAGAGGCCUGAGAGAGGCAGCAGUGGGGAAUGGUGGACAGUGGGGGCGAGCAUGAUACAGCAAGGGCGCGUGCGGGAAGAAGGCGUUCGGGGUGUAAACAGGUUUUGUACGGAGUGAAAAGGCUCUGGCUAAGACGUGGGGCGGAUGACGGUACCGGAAGAAGAAGCACCGGCUAACUACGUG